rfam:Picea glauca, whole genome shotgun sequence.
ACAUGCUUACAACAUAGCGUUAAUGCACCGAAUCCCAUUAGAACUCUGUAGUGAAGCGUGCUUGGGAUAGAGUAGUACUAGGAUGGGCCAUUCUAGCAAGCUUGUUUCCGCUGCAUUUU